AACGAGCGCUGGCGGCAGGCCUAACACAUGCAAGUCGAGCGAAGCCUUCGGGCUUAGCGGCGGACGGGUGAGUAACGCGUGGGAACGUGCCCUUUGGUACGGAAUAGCCCCGGGAAACUGGGAGUAAUACCGUAUGUGGUCGAGAGACGAAAGAUUUAUCGCCAAAGGAUCGGCCCGCGUUGGAUUAGGUAGUUGGUGGGGUAAUGGCCUACCAAGCCGACGAUCCAUAGCUGGUUUGAGAGGAUGAUCAGCCACACUGGGACUGAGACACGGCCCAGACUCCUACGGGAGGCAGCGGUGGGGAAUCUUAGACAAUGGGGGAAACCCUGAUCUAGCCAUGCCGCGUGAUCGAUGAAGGCCUUAGGGUUGUAAAGAUCUUUCAGUGGGGAAGAUAAUGACUGUACCCACAGAAGAAGCCCCGGCUAACUCCGUGCCAGCCGCCGCUGUAACAC
rnacentral:rRNA from 1 species